AUUGAACGCUGGCGGCAUGCCUUACACAUGCAAGUCGAACGGUAACAGGUCUUCGGAUGCUGACGAGUGGCGAACGGGUGAGUAAUACAUCGGAACGUGCCUAGUAGUGGGGGACAACUACUCGAAAGAGUGGCUAAUACCGCAUGAGAUCUACGGAUGAAAGCAGGGGAUCGAAAGACCUUGUGCUACUAGAGCGGCCGAUGGCAGAUUAGGUAGUUGGUGGGAUAAAAGCUUACCAAGCCGACGAUCUGUAGCUGGUCUGAGAGGACGAUCAGCCACACUGGGACUGAGACACGGCCCAGACUCCUACGGGAGGCAGCAGUGGGGAAUUUUGGACAAUGGGCGAAAGCCUGAUCCAGCAAUGCCGCGUGCAGGAUGAAGGCCUUCGGGUUGUAAACUGCUUUUGUACGGAACGAAAAGCCCUGGGUUAAUACCCUGGGGUCAUGACGGUACCGUAAGAAUAAGCACCGGCUAACUACGUGCCAGCAGCCGCCGCAGUAA
rnacentral:rRNA from 1 species